rnacentral:lncRNA from 1 species
UAAGGGGGUGUUAAUUACCAUGACCAUGAUAGUAGAGAAGAAGCUGGAGAUUUGCAUUAUCCACCUUUGCAUGAUCAUUGUUGCUCCAUCUUGAAUUUGGAGAGAUCAGCAAAUCGGGAGAAGGUAGAUGGGAGGAUGGUUAUGGUUCCAUUGACACUCACUAGACUCUCUAGAGGAGCAUAGGGUCAAAGGAGGGGGAAGGCUCCAAAAUAUGUCGGUCCCUCUCAUAGACUAGAAAAUAAUUAGUAGGCAUCUUAAACCUUUCUUGGCAAGGAUGUUUUAGUUUUUUGUCCUUGUCCCUUAAUAGUGUCAAGGGGUAGAUAAUGAGCUGGAUCAUAUCAUUACAACAAAAUUGACUUGGUGGUAUUAGUUGCAACUUUUUUGAAUUUUGGGGUCUAAGUAUUUCUAGUGAAAAUUUGGAGGGAUCAAAAUAUGUUUUUUAAAUUAAAAAAACAAAAAAUGAGAGGUGGCAUACCUUUGGUUGCUACAUGUUGACAUGCAAUUUCAAUCUUGGAAGAUAAUGUUUCUCAAAGUUAGAGACUUAGAUAAUAAUGUAAUGCUCUUGCUAUUCUUCUUUAAAAGAAAAAAAGUAGAAAUAAUUUUAUAAGGUAUUGUCAGUUCUUAAACAUCUAAACUGACAUAAAUUAUCUAUGAAUCCAAUACACGAGGUUAUAAGGUGGAAGAAUGAAAAGCUUUUCUAUUGUCAUGUUAUCCCAAUUGUUUUCUUAUUAUAGCAUGCAAUCGGUCUUCUUAGAAAAACUUGGGUCAAUGAUGCAAGAUUACAUGAUUCGAAGUUGCAUUUGAA